ACGCUCGACACCUACGGAGGCAGCAGUAGGGAAUCUUCCACAAUGGGCGCAAGCCUGAUGGAGCAACACCGCGUGAGUGAAGAAGGGUUUCGGCUCGUAAAGCUCUGUUGUUGGAGAAGAACGUGCGUGAGAGUAACUGUUCACGCAGUGACGGUAUCCAACCAGAAAGUCACGGCUAACUACGUGCCAACAGCCGCGGUAAUCUGAGCGGGCUGGCAAGGC
rnacentral:rRNA from 1 species